rnacentral:lncRNA from 1 species
GCCUAAGCUAAUACACAUGUGAUAUAUAUUUUUCUUAAGCUUGGCAACUAUCAAAGCAAGGGGAAUACUAAAGUGUAGUGUGCAUAAACAGAAUGACUUUCUUAGAGCACUAGUACUUCCACCACAAUAGGGUACCGCCUGAGUUUUAGGUGCACUACUCAAGUCCACAAAUGUUUUCUACAAUUUAUUAGAACCUGAUCCAUCACAUUUUCAGAAUAUCACAUGUUGUCUA